GCGGAAGUAGCUCAAUUGGUAGAGCGAUAGCCUUCCAAGCUGUAGGUCGCGGGUUCGAACCUCGUCUUCCGCU
rnacentral:tRNA from 1 species